AUUGAACGCUGGCGGCAGGCCUAACACAUGCAAGUCGAGCGAGCGGCGGACGGGUGCGUAAUGCCUGGGAAUUGCCCAGUCGAGGGGGAUAACAGUUGGAAACGACUGCUAAUACCGCAUACGAUUGGAUUGCCCAGGUGGGAUUAGCUAGUUGGUGAGGUAAUGGCUCACCAAGGCGACGAUCCCUAGCUGGUCUGAGAGGAUGGGCGUCCAGUGUGGAACUGAGCCACGGUCCAGACUCUUACGGGAGGUAGCAGUGGGGAAGAUUGCACCAUGGGGGAAACCCUGAUGGAGCCAUGGCGCGUGUGUGAAGAAGGCCUUCGGGUUGUAAAGUACUUUUAGCGAGGAGGCGUUACUCGCAGAAGAAGCACCGGCUAACUCCGUGCCAGCAGCCGCGGUAAUAC
rnacentral:rRNA from 1 species